AGCUGUGAAAAUCAUGAAAGGCAAAGACAAGACCAAGUUUAAAGUGAGGUGCAGUCGUUAUUUAUACACCCUGGUUAUCAAGGAUAAAGAAAAGGCUGACAAACUGAAGCAAUCUUUACCUCCUGGUAAAUAUGAGUUUGUGAUCUGUUCAUUUAUUAACCCAUUGAGUGGCAGCACUUUCCACUUGACGAGUAAAAUCAUCUGGCAGUAGGCAGGUUUGAUUUGCUGCGCCGUUUCGUGAGAAAUGGAAAUUCCACUGCUUGUGUCGUACCACGAACCCGCGCGUCUGAGUUGGAACCUGGGGCCAUAUAUUUUCUAAGGGCUGUAGAGUUUAUUAUUUUGAAUUUUUUCACAGUUGCCAUGAGGGCAAAUAUCCCUACGCAGUUAACAAAAUUAGCAGACUGGUGUCAGUGGUGUGUUCUAAUGCACCCUACUUUCUUUAUAUUACUCUGUUUAACGUCGGUCUACUCAUCAAGGAAAUACAAGCUUUGCUUUGACUAUAAAAUUUGGGAUUUGUUUUAUUUAAAUUUUUUCCCAAUUGUUGGCUGGAGAUGGAUUUUUGUUCUAAUUUGGUGUUUUAUCUUUUAGGACUGGACGUUAAAGAGUUGAAGAACUGAAUGUAUAAAUGAUAAGUUGAAAUAAAUUUUCAAAAUGUU